rnacentral:rRNA from 1 species
UACGGAGGGGGCUAGCGUUGUUCGGAAUUACUGGGCGUAAAGCGCACGUAGGCGGCUUUGCAAGUCAGAGGUGAAAGCCCGGGGCUCAACCCCGGAAUUGCCUUUGAGACUGCAUCGCUAGAAUUGUGGAGAGGUAAGUGGAAUUCCGAGUGUAGAGGUGAAAUUCGUAGAUAUUCGGAAGAACACCAGUGGCGAAGGCGGCCAACUGGACGAAUACUGACGCUGAGACACGAAAGCGUGGGGAGCAAACAGGAUUGAGAUACCCGUGGUAAGUC